CAAUAGCGUAUAUUUAAGUUGUUGCAGUUAAAAAGCUCGUAGUUGGAUUUCGGUUAAGAGCGACCGGUCCGCCGUUUGGUGUGCACUGGUUGGUUUUAACUUCCUGUAGAGGACGUGCUCUGGGUUUAACGACCUGGACUCGGAGUCUACGUGGUUACUUUGAAAAAAUUAGAGUGUUCAAAGCGGGCUUACGCUUGAAUAUUUCAGCAUGGAAUAACACUAUAGGACUCCUGUCCUAUUUCGUUGGUCUCGGGACGGGAGUAAUGAUUAAGAGGAACAGUUGGGGGCAUUCGUAUUCCAUUGUCAGAGGUGAAAUUCUUGGAUUUAUGAAAGACGAACUUCUGCGAAAGCAUUUGCCAAGGAUGUUUUCAUUAA
rnacentral:rRNA from 1 species